AAAUGCAUACAGCAGCCCCCUUAGCCAUCUGUGUGAUAGGGGAUCGACCCUGAGUGGGCCUGAUGAACCCUUUAUGGAAAGCCAACAACGGGACAAUGGGUUGAGUCUGGCGAUGCAAACAGAUCGUCGAUGGCCAUUCUGAAUCGCACCAGAUCAAGCGGGACUGGCACAACACUGUGGGUCAACAAGCGCCAACAACGGGUACAAGAAGCUAAAUAGUUACAGUAGCUAUCAGUGGUGGAAAAGUGCAAAAUGGUCAUACUUGACCUUAAUAUUAAUAUAUACUAUAUAUAUAUAUAAUAUAUAUUAAUAUAUACCUUGAUAGAUGACUCAAGUAAAAGUGAAAGUCACCCAGUAAAAUACAUCUUGAGUAAAAGUCAUAGUAUUUGGUUUUUAAUAUACUUAAGUAUCAAAAGUAAAUGUAAUUGCUAAAAUAUACUUAAGUAUCAAAAUUUCUAAUUCCUUAUAUUAAGCAAACCAGAUUUACAGAUAGCCAGUGGCACACUCCAGCACUUUGACAUAAUUUACAAACUAAGCAUGUGUGUUAGUGAGCACGCCAGAUAAGAGACAGUAGGGAUGACCAGGGAUGUUCUCGCCGUUUUCCUGUCCUGCUAAUCAUUCUGUCAUGUACUGUCAUGUUGUCUUGUCUCUGUCCUUUCCCUUCACCCUGUCUCCCUCUGCUGGUCGUUGUUAGGUUACCUUUUCUCCCCCGCUUUCUCCCAGCUGUUCCUUGUCUCCUCUAACUACCCAUUCACCCCGUUUCCCACCUGUUCCCUUUUUCCCUCUGAUUAGGUCCCUAUAUCUCUCUCUGUUUCUGUUCCUUGUCUCCUCUAACUACCCAUUCACCCCGUUUCCCACCUGUUCCCUUUUUCCCUCUGAUUAGGUCCCUAUAUCUCUCUCUGUUUCUGCUCCUGUCCUUGUCGGAUUCUUGUUUGUUUGUGUCAUUCAUGCCUGAACCAGACUGUCGUCAUGUUUGCUGUAACCUUGUCCUGUCCUGUCGGAAUCUGCCGGUCUAUCUGAGCCUACCUAUGUUUGGUUAUUAAAGAAGCUCUGUUUAAGUUAGUUCGCUUUUGGGUCCUCAUUCACUCACCGUAACACAUUCAAAAUGUAACGAGUACUUUUGGGUGUCAGGGAAAAUGUAUGGAGUAAAAAGUACAUUAUUUUCUUUAGGGAUGUAGAAAAGUAAAAGUUGUCCAAAAUAUAAAUAGUAAAUUAAAGUACACAUUAAAAAAAACUACUUCAGUAGUACUUUAAGGUAUUUAUACUUUACUUUACACCACUGGUAGCUACACUACAUGACCAAAGGUAUGUGGUCACCUGCUCGUCGAACAUCUCAUUCCAAAAUCAUGGGCAUUAAUAUGGAGUUGGUCCCCCCUUUGCUUCUAUAACGGCCUCCACUCUUCUGGGAAAGCUUUCCACUAGAUGUUCCACUAGAUGGAACAUUGCUGCGGGGACUUGCUUCCAUUCAGCCACGAGCAUUAGUGAGGUUGGGCACUGAUGUUAGGCAAUUAGGCCUGGCUCGCAGACGCCGUUCCAAAUCAUCCUAAAAGUGUUCGAUGGGGUUGAGGUCAGGGCUCUGUGCAGGCCAGUCAAGUUCUUCCACACCGAUCUCGACAAACCAUUUCUGUAUGGACCUCGCUUAGUGCAUGGGGGCAUUGUCAUGCUGAAACAGGAAAGGGCCUUCCCCAAACUGUUGCCACAAAGUUG
rnacentral:lncRNA from 13 species